rnacentral:rRNA from 1 species
AGCUUGCGGUUUAAUUGGAUUCCAACGCCGGAAAUCUUACCGGGACCGACAGCAAUAUGAAGGCCAGGCUGAAGACUUUGCCGGAUUAGCUGAGAGGUGGUGCAUGGCCGUCGUCAGUUCGUACUGUGAAGCAUCCUGUUAAGUCAGGCAACGAGCGAGACCCCACGCCCACAGUUGCCAGCGUACUCUCUGGAGUGACGGGUACACUGUGGGGACCGCCGCUGCUAAAGCGGAGGAAGGAAUGGGCAACGGUAGGUCAGUAUGCCCCGAAUAUCCCGGGCUACACGCGAGCUACAAUGGUUGGUACAAUGGGUAUCUACCCCGAAAGGGGACGGGAAUCUCCUAAAACCAAUCUUAGUUCGGAUUGUGGGCUGCAACUCGCCCACAUGAAGCUGGAAUCUGUAGUAAUCGUGUCUCAAAAUGGCACGGUGAAUAUGUCCCUGCUCCUU